UGGGAGUUUUAUAAAUUGUCGACAUUUAAAUGAAUUAUCAUAAAUUCGUGGUACUGUGAUUGAUUUCUUAAUGGCUACUCUAAUGUUUGUUAUUUAUAUGAUAANUGCAGGAAGAAGNAGAAAUGUUGGUAUNAAUAUAUUGGAUAAAUGAAGAGAAAGAAGUUGAUAUGGAAAGGAUAAUAAAGUAAUUAUUGAUAGAUAGAAAGUUGAUGUUAUUAAGGAAAAGAGAAAAGGAGAUGUUGUUCUAUUCCUGACAACAACAUUGGUUGUUAUUACAUUUACAAACAGUAGCCUUUGGUUGUUGUUUAAGACAGUCUGCCUCAGUUGCACAAAACAUUUUCAAGGAAAUCCAAUCCAAUGGACAAAUUGGUCCCUUUGAUGCCUCAUUUUUCUCAAUUUCAUCAUUUCCUGAACACAAAACCAAAGCCAUCAUCACCAAAACUAUCUUCACAUUCAUCAUCUUCAA
rnacentral:lncRNA from 1 species